rnacentral:tRNA from 1 species
GGGGGCAUAGCUCAGUGGUAAAGCGUCUGCUUAGCAUGUGCAAGGUCCCAGGUUCAAUCCCUAGUACCUCCA